UACGUAGGGUGCGAGCGUUGUCCGGAAUUAUUGGGCGUAAAGGGCUCGUAGGCGGUUUGUCGCGUCGGGAGUGAAAACCCAGGGCUUAACCCUGGGCUGGCUUCCGAUACGGGCAGACUAGAGGUAUUCAGGGGAGAACGGAAUUCCUGGUGUAGCGGUGGAAUGCGCAGAUAUCAGGAGGAACACCGGUGGCGAAGGCGGUUCUCUGGGAAUUACCUGACGCUGAGGAGCGAAAGCAUGGGGAGCGAACAGG
rnacentral:rRNA from 1 species